GAUGAACGCUGGCGGCGUGCCUAAUACAUGCAAGUCGAGCGAACGGACGAGAAGCUUGCUUCUCUGAUGUUAGCGGCGGACGGGUGAGUAACACGUGGAUAACCUACCUAUAAGACUGGGAUAACUUCGGGAAACCGGAGCUAAUACCGGAUAAUAUUUUGAACCGCAUGGUUCAAAAGUGAAAGACGGUCUUGCUGUCACUUAUAGAUGGAUCCGCGCUGCAUUAGCUAGUUGGUAAGGUAACGGCUUACCAAGGCAACGAUGCAUAGCCGACCUGAGAGGGUGAUCGGCCACACUGGAACUGAGACACGGUCCAGACUCCUACGGGAGGCAGCAGUAGGGAAUCUUCCGCAAUGGGCGAAAGCCUGACGGAGCAACGCCGCGUGAGUGAUGAAGGUCUUCGGAUCGUAAAACUCUGUUAUUAGGGAAGAACAUAUGUGUAAGUAACUGUGCACAUCUUGACGGUACCUAAUCAGAAAGCCACGGCUAACUGCGUGCCAGCAGCCGCGGUAAUACGUAGGUGGCAAGCGUUAUCCGGAAUUAUUGGGCGUAAAGCGCGCGUAGGCGGUUUUUUAAGUCUGAUGUGAAAGCCCACGGCUCAACCGUGGAGGGUCAUUGGAAACUGGAAAACUUGAGUGCAGAAGAGGAAAGUGGAAUUCCAUGUGUAGCGGUGAAAUGCGCAGAGAUAUGGAGGAACACCAGUGGCGAAGGCGACUUUCUGGUCUGUAACUGACGCUGAUGUGCGAAAGCGUGGGGAUCAAACAAGAUUAGAUACCCUGGUAGUCCACGCCGUAAACGAUGAGUGCUAAGUGUUAGGGGGUUUCCGCCCCUUAGUGCUGCAGCUAACGCAUUAAGCACUCCGCCUGGGGAGUACGACCGCAAGGUUGAAACUCAAAGGAAUUGACGGGGACCUGCACAAGCGGUGGAGCAUGUGGUUUAAUUCGAAGCAACGCGAAGAACCUUACCAAAUCUUGACAUCCUUUGACAACUCUAGAGAUAGAGCCUUCCCCUUCGGGGGACAAAGUGACAGGUGGUGCAUGGUUGUCGUCAGCUCGUGUCGUGAGAUGUUGGGUUAAGUCCCGCAACGAGCGCAACCCUUAAGCUUAGUUGCCAUCAUUAAGUUGGGCACUCUAAGUUGACUGCCGGUGACAAACCGGAGGAAGGUGGGGAUGACGUCAAAUCAUCAUGCCCCUUAUGAUUUGGGCUACACACGUGCUACAAUGGACAAUACAAAGGGCAGCGAAACCGCGAGGUCAAGCAAAUCCCAUAAAGUUGUUCUCAGUUCGGAUUGUAGUCUGCAACUCGACUACAUGAAGCUGGAAUCGCUAGUAAUCGUAGAUCAGCAUGCUACGGUGAAUACGUUCCCGGGUCU
rnacentral:rRNA from 1 species